UAGGUCCCUCCAUCAUCAUGAUUCUGUAAGAUUUUUCCAUUGAUUUCUAAGAACCAAACAAACCAAGACUCUACACACGUUGUCCACUAAAAGCUACUUUAAUUCAGACCUUUUAAAAAAAUUGAACAGAUCUGAAUGGAAUGGAGGUCCAAUUGAAUGACACUAUCUUCAAAGUGAACUGCAGGUUCCACGAAGGAACGUAUGCUGGAAGCAAACGGGGUUGACUAUAAGAAACGAAGAGUGAAAGAGUCAUUUGCUUCGAUUCCCUUCAUCAAAUCUUGUUUCCUUCGAUGGCCUCUCCCCUGUCUUGCGUGUUGAUGGUGUGUGCUAAGGCGAUUGAAGGUGAUCGCUUGGAUGUUGCAGAUUUUCUUUUGGCAGAAAUUCAAUCUCUAGCUUCUAAAGAGGAGAGCAUAUGGACGAGGAAAAUUGUCAAAUACUUUGCUGAGGCUCUUGUCCGGCGAGCCUAUCGAAUUCGUCCUCCUUGUACUUUUCCCUUGCUACUACCCGGAUACAUGUAUAAACCUUUCUGCGAGUUUGCUAGAAUCACCAGUAAACAUGCCAUUGCCGAUCAUGCCUUGAAUUCGGGAAAUAAAGGACUCCACAUUAUUGACUUCUCCAUCAAGUUCAAUUUUCGGCAGUGGAAAGAUUUAAUUGAAGACCUCAAAAGGCAGUAUGGUGGCCUACAAUCUGUCCUGAUAACCAGUAUCGCACCGAAACUGUCAAAACACUCUUACCAUCUCCGUCAAAACCGGGAAUGGGCUGAGCACAAAAAUUUGGAAUUGAGGCAAUUGAUAUGCAAUAGUCCGGAUGAUAUUGUCAAUUGUAUUUCCAAACUCAGAAGGAAAAGGGAGGAUGAGAUUGUGGUUGUGAAUUGGAAUUUUACACUCCACAAAUUGCUUGCACAAGAUGGGGCAACGGAGCAAGUGCUUUCAAAAGUGAAGGAUUUGGGAGCGGACAUCAUGGUAAUUGUUGAGCAAGAAGCCAAUCUUAACAGCCCUCAUCUUUCGAAGCGGCUCGAACAAUCAUUCCAAUACUACUCCCCUUGUUUUAAGGCACUGGAGGAAGAUUGUGAUAGACAUGUGUUCAUGGAGAUGUAUUUCAGGCGACAGAUUGGGAAUGUGGUGGCAUGUGAGGGCGUUGACCGGGUCGAGCGGAUUGAGUCAUUUGCUCACUGGCAAAAUCGCCUAUCUCAGGCUGGGUUUUGUCCAGUUCCCCAACAGGUAGACAAGUUCGAUGAAGAGUUUGUAAUCGAAGAGAAUGAAGGGCAUAAUAUCUUGCUAAGUCGGCACGGUUGUCCGCUAGCUGUAGCCUCAGUUUGGAAGCUCACUGAUCCACCUCAAUUCAGUGGCGGUCUUUACACAAUGCAAGAUACAGUUGAUGACUCAGAAGGGAUGUCGAGCUCCCCUGAGUCUGAGGAUGAUGAAGAAAAUGAUUCUCUAGUUCGCAUAAUGGCAGAUAGAAACUUAUGGUCCACACAGACACAGGGCUCUUCAAUGAAUCGAAUAGCUGCUUCAGCUAAGUUAUUUGACAUAUUGGAAUAUAUAUGUGAUCUACAUAGGUUAGAACUGGGUGUGACAUGGAUUUCCUAUGGCCAAGAUGGUAAUACAAAUUCAAAGGGAAAGCGUAUUCUAUGUAUUGAUGAUAGCGCUUGCUAUGUAAAUAAUUGGGUUAUGGCAAAAUUUGUGGAUGAAUAUGCACGACAUCGUCUCGAGGAAGGACAAGUAGCUCUUGGAUCAGAAAAUGGUAUGCUGCUUUUGCUAUAAGGCUAACAAGUACCCACCCUUGCAAGGAUGAUUACGUACUGGAAUUUCUUCUCCCUGUAGACAUGACAGACAGAACAGAACUUUUGAUAAAUAAGGUCUUGCGUACAUUGCAGAGGAAAUGUUUAAAGUUGUGGGAAGUUAGUGUCAGAGAAGUAAAUGAGGCGAGUGGCUCUGAAGUUAGAUUGGAUGAUGAAAGAAUGCCAAACAUCCCACAUGAAGAAACACGCGAGCCUCUUGAACA